GUCCCCUUCGUCUAGAGGCCUAGGACACCACCCUCUCACGGUGAGAACACGGGUUCAAAUCCCGUAGGGGACGCCA
rnacentral:tRNA from 1 species